CAGUAGCCGCGGGAAUACGUAGGGUGCAAGCGUUAAUCGGAAUUACUGGGCGUAAAGCGUGCGCAGGCGGUUAUAUAAGACAGAUGUGAAAUCCCCGGGCUUAACCUGGGAACUGCAUUUGUGACUGUAUAGCUAGAGUACGGCAGAGGGGGAUGGAAUUCCGCGUGUAGCAGUGAAAUGCGUAGAUAUGCGGAGGAACACCGAUGGCGAAGGCAAUCCCCUGGGCCUGUACUGACGCUCAUGCACGAAAGCGUGGGGAGCAAACAGGAUUAGAUACCCCAGUAGUCCCUGUCUCUUAUAC
rnacentral:rRNA from 1 species